GACUUCUUAGCUCAGCGGUAGAGCGUGUGAUUCCAGUCGCCUGUAUUGAUAAAGGAUCCACAAGGUCGUCCGUUCAAUCCGGGCAGAGGUCA